rfam:Triticum urartu cultivar G1812 contig129857, whole genome shotgun sequence.
GGGGAUAUGAUUCAGUUGGUAGAAUGUCGACGUUGCAUGUUGAAAGCCUAGGUUCGAAUCCUAGUAUCUCCA